rnacentral:rRNA from 1 species
UGCAAGUCGAACGAAGGCUUCGGCCUUAGUGGCGCACGGGUGCGUAACGCGUGGGAAUCUGCCCCUUGGUUCGGAAUAACAGUUAGAAAUGACUGCUAAUACCGGAUGAUGACGAAAGUCCAAAGAUUUAUCGCCGAGGGAUGAGCCCGCGUAGGAUUAGCUAGUUGGUGGGGUAAUGGCCCACCAAGGCGACGAUCCUUAGCUGGUCUGAGAGGAUGAUCAGCCACACUGGGACUGAGACACGGCCCAGACUCCUACGGGAGGCAGCAGUGGGGAAUAUUGGACAAUGGGCGAAAGCCUGAUCCAGCAAUGCCGCGUGAGUGAUGAAGGCCUUAGGGUUGUAAAGCUCUUUUACCCGGGAUGAUAAUGACAGUACCGGGAGAAUAAGCUCCGGCUAACUCCGUGCCAGCAGCCGCGGUAAUACGGAGGGAGCUAGCGUUGUUCGGAAUUACUGGGCGUAAAGCGCACGUAGGCGGCUACUCAAGUCAGAGGUGAAAGCCCGGGGCUCAACCCCGGAACUGCCUUUGAAACUAGGUAGCUAGAAUCUUGGAGAGGUCAGUGGAAUUCCGAGUGUAGAGGUGAAAUUCGUAGAUAUUCGGAAGAACACCAGUGGCGAAGGCGACUGACUGGACAAGUAUUGACGCUGAGGUGCGAAAGCGGGGGGAGCAAACAGGAUUAGAUACCCUGGUAGUCCACGCCG